AGGGCAGGAAACAUGAAGAAAGCAGGUGUGAGGACUGAACCAACUGCACGGUAUGUAAAGACAUACUUGGUACAUAGUAGAUACAAAGUUAGCUUUGGUCUUUGGUGAAUUCAUGAAUAUGAUUGUAUUAAAAUGUAAUUGCAUUGCAUAAACAUUAUAAAAUGAAGAAUACAAAAAAUUAGGAAAGAUUUUAUCUUAUACAAGGAGUGUACAUUUCAAUUCACUAAUUUAUUCCAAUCGAGAAAAUGUUAUAUGCUUAUCUGUUGGUCUAUGUAUGAAUUUUCUGUUACUGCAUAACAUAUUACCACUAACUCACUGGCUCUACACAGCACCCAUUUAUUUCUCUACAUUUCCUUAAUGAGAAAUCCAGGCCUGGUGUGAAUGAUUCUCAGCUCAGGAUUUCACGAAGCUGUGUCCUCAUCUUGAGGCUGGGGUCCUCCUUCCAGCUUAUACAGAGCUUGGUGGCAGAAUUCAGUUUCAGGCAGUUGUGGGAUUGUAGUCCUUGUUCCUGGGCAGCUGUCAGGUGGAGGUGGGGUGGAGCUGUUCUCAAUUCCUGGAGCCCGUCAUAUCCUUUGCCACAUGGCCCCUUCAUUUUCAAAGCUCACAGCGGAGGAAGCCCCUCACGUUGAAUUUCGCUCACACUGUGAAUCUCUUUGCUGAAGAAGAAAUAAGUUGUUUUAAGAGCUCACCUGAUUAGGACAGUCCAAGGCAGGAUAAUCAUGGUCUUAAAGUCAACUGAUUUGGGACCUUGCUUAUAUCUGCAGAAUCCCUUCACAGCGGCACCUACAGUAGUGUUGAUUGAGUAACUGGGGAAGGUGAAUCACCAGGGGUGGUUAUGUGGGGGCCAUCACUGAAUCAUCCUCGCAUAGCCAGGAUCUUCCUUUUGUGUUUAAUUGGGUCGUGGUAGGAAACUGAAGUUCAAAUAAAUAGGUUGUUGUGAAUGUUAAUAAAAUACAUCCUAUUGAUACAUGGAAAUACUGAAAUCUUAAAACCAAAUAACACUGAAUAUCUUUUAGUUAAUUUAGAAUAAAUAAAAAUUAAAGUGUAGUAAUUCAUUCUCUCUUUUGAAGCGCUAUUGUCUAUUGUUGUAUAAUAAAUAACAUGAAGUUUGACAACCCAAAACAACAAAUACUUAUCAUCUCCCACAGUUUCCAGUGGUCAGGAAUCU
rnacentral:lncRNA from 10 species